GUGGGGAAUAUUGGACAAUGGGCGCAAGCCUGAUCCAGCCAUGCCGCGUGAGUGAUGAAGGCCUUAGGGUUGUAAAGCUCUUUCAGUGGGGACGAUAAUGACGGUACCCACAGAAGAAGCCCCGGCUAACUUCGUGCCAGCAGCCGCGGUAAUACGAAGGGGGCUAGCGUUGUUCGGAUUUACUGGGCGUAAAGCGCACGUAGGCGGAUCGUUAAGUCGGGGGUGAAAUCCUGGAGCUCAACUCCAGAACUGCCUUCGAUACUGGCGAUCUUGAGUCCGGAAGAGGUGAGUGGAACUCCUAGUGUAGAGGUGGAAUUCGUAGAUAGUAGGAAGAACACCAGUGGCGAAGGCGGCUCACUGGUCCGGUACUGACGCUGAGGUGCGAAAGCGUGGGGAGCAAACAGGAUUAGAUACCCGUGUAGUCC
rnacentral:rRNA from 1 species